CCUGAACGCUGGCGGCGUGGCUAAGACAUGCAAGUCGUACGGGUGCAGCAAUGCACCAGUGGCGGACGGGUGAGUAAUGAAUCGCUAAUGUACCCUGGACUCCGGGAUAGCCGGCCGAAAGGCCGGGUAAUACCAGAUGAUGUGGCGACAGGGCAUCCUGUUGACCCCAAAGGAAACCGGUCUGGGCGCAGGCGAUUUCGUAUCAGGUAGUUGGUGCGGGUAACGGCCCACCAAGCCGACGACGCGUAGCUGGUCUGAGAGGACGGCCAGCCACAUUGGGACUGAGAAACGGCCCAGACUCCUACGGGAGGCAGCAGUGGGGAAUCUUGCGCAAUGGCCUAACGGCUGACGCAGCGACGCCGCGUGAGGGAUGAAGCUCUUCGGAGUGUAAACCUCUGUUGCUCGGGACGAAUGGCGCCUUUUGGCGACGUGACGGUACCGAGUGAGGAAGCACCGGCUAACUUCGUGCCAGCCGCCGCCGUAAU
rnacentral:rRNA from 1 species